AUGGUACUCCCUCCGUUCCGAAUUACUUGUCUUGGAAAUGGAUGUAUCUAGAACUAAAAUACGUCUAGAUACACCCAUUUCCGCGACAAGUAAUUCCGAACGGAGGGAGUAGUAA
rnacentral:pre_miRNA from 1 species